rnacentral:rRNA from 1 species
AUUAAACGCUGGCGGAAUGCUUUACACAUGCAAGUCGAGCGGCAGCGCGGGGGCAACCCUGGCGGCGAGCGGCGAACGGGUGAGUAAUGUAUCGGAACGUACCCAGUCGUGGGGGAUAACUAUCCGAAAGGAUAGCUAAUACCGCAUACGACCUGAGGGUGAAAGCGGGGGACCGUAAGGCCUCGCGCGAUGGGAGCGGCCGAUAUCGGAUUAGCUUGUUGGUGAGGUAAAGGCUCACCAAGGCGAUGAUCCGUAGCUGGUCUGAGAGGACGACCAGCCACACUGGAACUGAGACACGGUCCAGACUCCUACGGGAGGCAGCAGUGGGGAAUUUUGGACAAUGGGGGGCAACCCUGAUCCAGCCAUUCCGCGUGAGUGAAGAAGGCCUC